GUGCCAGCAGCCGCGGUAACACGUAGGGGGCAAGCGUUGUCCGGAUUUAUUGGGCGUAAAGGGCUCGUAGGCGGUUCGACAAGUCGGGUGUGAAACCUCCAGGCUCAACCUGGAGUCGCCGCUCGAAACUGUUGUGACUAGAGUCCGGUAGAGGAGCAUGGAAUUUGUGGUGUAGCGGUGGAAUGCGCAGAUAUCACAAGGAACACCAGUAGCGAAGGCGAUGCUCUGGGCCGGUACUGACGCUGAGGAGCGAAAGCAUGGGGAGCGAACAGGAUUAGAAACCCCAGUAGUCC
rnacentral:rRNA from 1 species